UAUUAACAGGCAACAGCAGAGCACAUGGACUUUUUCCUUUGACAGCUGGAGCUAACUUUGGUGCUAAUCUAUCUAAAAAUGUUUAUUUUCCCGUUAUUCUUCUUCUGCUUAUCUUGGUACCUUGGCUUCACUCAAAGGAGUUGUACCAUAAAAUAAUAUUUCUACAGCAUUAACUUUACAAUUGGUAAUAUAAAUUUUCCCCAAUUAGUUGCCUUUUCUGCUAUUCGAUCACAACUCUCUCCUAAAAUAGAUUUCUCUGUAUCAUUGGAUUUCUCAGUUGUCUAAUUUGUGCGUUUUCCUGUUUGAAAGGGGUGGUGUUGGUGUAAUGUAUUUAAAAUUAGGAUUUCUUUUUGGAAAAAAUUGGUGGAUGGUGCUAGGUUUUGGGAAUUUGAGAAAUUGAUAAAAUUUGGAGUUUUAUCUGCUUUGUCCUCAAUAAUCCAGAAAGAAGAUUGUGAUUUCUGUAGUAAUUGGCCCAAAGUUAACAGCUUCUCACUGCUAUACUGCCCAUAGACAAAUUGUAGAUAAAUUUCGGCCGAGAGAAAGAAGGGAUCAGUGAGUUCGUUUUCAGACAAUAAUUGUUCAAGAUUAAAACGAGGAACAAAUUUGUGUAAUACUCUAUAGUGAUGACAUUGGACGACGUGAUAACUUGUUCAAACUUUUCGAGACGUGCCUCAUUUCAACUGCCAAAGUUAGAUAUCCACAGCCUUAUUCACUACACAUUGGCCAAUUUGAAUGGGUCGUCGACAUGUUCACUAUUGUGGAGUCUAUUGCAAGGAAUAAUGAAAAUGUAACUGAAUGUUCUUCUUGGUAAUUUCACUCCCAAAAAUGUAACUGUCAAAAGAAUUUUCUGUUAACGUGACCUUGAGGGACCUUGUGAUCACGAUCUCUCCUUUGAGCUAUUCCUUUGCAUAUGUAAAUGCUUUGGAAGUUGUCUUACCAGAUAUCCUUAUUACUGAUGAUGCCUCCAUCAUUAGUGCAGCGGGGACGUUAAGUGGUAUGCAAGCGCAGGCUCUCGAAACAGUUGCAAGACAUGGGCGGAUCGCUGGUGUCGUUUGAAAAUGAUACACUUUGGAGAACUUGGGUUACUGGUCAAAGUUUCUUAACGCAACGGAAUUCUGCUAAGUCGAUAAAUAAGAUUGCUUCUGUGAAAUAUCCACAGAAUGGAGCAACACCAGAUAUUGCACCACAGACAGUUUAUGGUACUUGUAGUAAGAUGAAUGUGGCUGAUACUGGUAAUGAUCCUAACGUCAAUUUUAAUGUGACUUGGACGUUCAAUGUGGAACCUGGAUUCCAAUAUUUCAUUCGUUUACACUUGUACGACAUAGUGAGCACAGCUGCCAAUCAGCUGCUAUUUAACAUUUAUGUCAACUCCUGGAACGUGGCUAAUGAUUUUGAUCCCGGUCAGAAAGUGCAGGGCUUUUCCGCCACAACUUCUUUCAACGAUUGUUACUCCACCUGCUAAAAGUAAUAGGCUUAACAUUAGUGUUGGCCCGUCCCCUAGGAGUGGUUUUCCUGACGCCUUUCUAAAUGGACUGGAACUUCUGUUCAGCACUAUGGUUAGAGUUUCUUUCAUCGUCACUAUUAUUAUGUAAAUGAGCUUCCUUGCCUAAUGAUUCAGGCUUUACUGCAGAACAACUAUCCUCCUGACAGACUAGAUCAAAUGUCUCCACGGCCCAUAAAUCAAUUCUUGGCAUAAAUAUCAUGCACUUCCCCACACUAGCACAUCUCACUGCACAAGAGAUACAAUCAUGUUCUACUGUUAAUUGUUUUACUUAUUGUUUAUUUCAAUAAUUUUCAACAUUUUUUCCACAAUUUGAUAUGCACUAAAUGUUACUUGGUUACAAUUUAGAUUAUAUUCCGGAUAAAUACUACACCUUAACGAAAAAUUACAAAGAGAAAUGCUUCCACAUGUUGGUACUGAAAAGUAAUGUGACACUAACCGAAUUGGAAUAUGAUAAAUUCCUUUUCUACCUCA